AAGGGUCCGUAGGCGGUUUGGUAAGUCAGUGGUGAAAGCCCAUCGCUUAACGAUGGAACGGCCAUUGAUACUGCCAGACUUGAAUUACUAGGAAGUAACUAGAAUAUGUAGUGUAGCGGUGAAAUGCUUAGAUAUUACAUGGAAUACCAAUUGCGAAGGCAGGUUACUACUAGUGGAUUGACGCUGAUGGACGAAAGCGUGGGGAGCGAACAGGAUUAGAUACCCCUGGU
rnacentral:rRNA from 1 species